rnacentral:rRNA from 1 species
GUGCCAGCCGCCGCGGUAAUACGAAGGGUGCAAGCGUUAAUCGGAAUUACUGGGCGUAAAGCGCGCGUAGGUGGUUCAGCAAGUUGGAUGUGAAAUCCCCGGGCUCAACCUGGGAACUGCAUCCAAAACUACUGAGCUAGAGUACGGUAGAGGGUGGUGGAAUUUCCUGUGUAGCGGUGAAAUGCGUAGAUAUAGGAAGGAACACCAGUGGCGAAGGCGACCACCUGGACUGAUACUGACACUGAGGUGCGAAAGCGUGGGGAGCAAACAGGAUUAGAAACCCCAGUAGUCCCGAAA